AGCAAUACGUUAGUGGCGCACGGGUGAGUAACACGUGGGAACCUAUCUUUCGGUUCGGAAAAACGGAGGGAAACUUCCGCUAAUACCGUAUACGCCCUUAGGGGGAAAGAUUUAUCGCUGAUUGAGGGGCCCGCGUCUGAUUAGCUAGUUGGUGAGGUAAAGGCUCACCAAGGCGACGAUCAGUAGCUGGUCUGAGAGGACGAUCAGCCACACUGGGACUGAGACACGGCCCAGACUCCUACGGGAGGCAGCAGUGGGGAAUAUUGGACAAUGGGGGCAACCCUGAUCCAGCCAUGCCGCGUGAGUGAUGAAGGCCUUCGGGUUGUAAAGCUCUUUCGCACGCGACGAUGAUGACGGUAGCGUGAGAAGAAGCCCCGGCUAACUUCGUGCCAGCAGCCGCGGUAAUACGAAGGGGGCUAGCGUUGUUCGGAUUUACUGGGCGUAAAGCGCACGCAGGCGGUCUUUUUAG
rnacentral:rRNA from 1 species